rnacentral:rRNA from 1 species
ACGCACGCUGGCGGCGUGCUUAACACAUGCAAGUCGAACGGAAAGGCCCUGCUUUUGUGGGGUGCUCGAGUGGCGAACGGGUGAGUAACACGUGAGUAACCUGCCCUUGACUUUGGGAUAACUUCAGGAAACUGGGGCUAAUACCGGAUAGGAGCUCCUGCUGCAUGGUGGGGGUUGGAAAGUUUCGGCGGUUGGGGAUGGACUCGCGGCUUAUCAGCUUGUUGGUGGGGUAGUGGCUUACCAAGGCUUUGACGGGUAGCCGGCCUGAGAGGGUGACCGGCCACAUUGGGACUGAGAUACGGCCCAGACUCCUACGGGAGGCAGCAGUGGGGAAUAUUGCACAAUGGGCGGAAGCCUGAUGCAGCAACGCCGCGUGCGGGAUGACGGCCUUCGGGUUGUAAACCGCUUUCGCCUGUGACGAAGCGUGAGUGGCGGUAAUGGGUAAAGAAGCACCGGCUAACUACGUG